CGUGCUAACUGGGGAGGUAGCGGUUCCUUGUAACCUUCAGUCCGCUGUAGUGGGGGUGAUGUCUACCAGAGGCUCCUUCUUUUUGGAGUCUGCCCUUUGAAAGUGGUGUUGACCGGUAAGUCUUAUGCAACGAACCUUUGUGAAUCUUGUCAGGUCCGGAAGGAAGCAGCAAUAAGCAAAUUCCGUUUGUGUGACAUGAGGUAGCUUAUCGUGAGCUAACUACAGAGGUAACGUCUGGGGAGAAAUGUCAAAGGUAGAUGCACG
rnacentral:SRP_RNA from 1 species